rnacentral:rRNA from 1 species
UCCUACGGGAGGCAGCAGUGGGGAAUUUUGGACAAUGGGCGCAAGCCUGAUCCAGCCAUUCCGCGUGAGUGAAGAAGGCCUUCGGGUUGUAAAGCUCUUUCGGCAGGAACGAAACGGCGGGCUCUAACAUAGCCUGUUACUGACGGUACCUGCAGAAGAAGCACCGGCUAACUACGUGCCAGCAGCCGCGGUAAUACGUAGGGUGCGAGCGUUAAUCGGAAUUACUGGGCGUAAAGCGUGCGCAGGCGGAUUGUUAAGCAAGACGUGAAAUCCCCGGGCUUAACCUGGGAAUGGCGUUUUGAACUGGCAGUCUAGAGUGCGUCAGAGGGGGGUGGAAUUCCACGUGUAGCAGUGAAAUGCGUAGAGAUGUGGAGGAACACCGAUGGCGAAGGCAGCCCCCUGGGAUGACACUGACGCUCAUGUACGAAAGCGUGGGUAGCAAACAGGAUUAGAUACCCUGGUAGUCCACGCCCUAAACGAUGUCAACUGGUUGUUGGGGGAGUGAAAUCCCUUAGUAACGAAGCUAACGCGUGAAGUG